rnacentral:rRNA from 1 species
AACGCGAAGAACCUUACCUACUCUUGACAUCCUACGAAUCCGACUGAGAGGUUGGAGUGCCGAAAGGAGCGUAGAGACAGGUGCUGCAUGGCUGUCGUCAGCUCGUGUUGUGAGAUGUUGGGUUAAGUCCCGUAACGAGCGCAACCCUUGUCCUUAGUUGCCAUCAUUUAGUUGGGGACUCUAAGGAGACUGCCGGUGAGGAACCGGAGGAAGGCGGGGACGACGUCAAGUCAUCAUGGCCUUUAUGAGUAGGGCUACACACGUGCUACAAUGGGGCGUACAGAGGGGAGCCAACCUGCGAAGGGGAGCCAAUCUCAAAAAGCGCCUCGUAGUCCGGAUUGGAGUCUGGAACUCGACUCCAUGAAGUUGGAAUCGCUAGUAAUCGCGAAUCAGCAACGUCGCGGUGAAUACGUUCCCGGGCCUUGUACACACCGCACGA